AUACUACUGCCUCCGUCCUAAAAUUCUUAUUUUAAAUUUCUUUAGAUAUGAAUGAAUCUAGUUACCUUUUAGUAUUAGAUACAUCCAUGUCUAGAUAAAUCUUAGACAAAAAUUUUGAAAUAGAGGUAGUAGUAU
rfam:Hordeum vulgare subsp. vulgare, WGS project CAJW01000000 data, contig: morex_contig_136792